GCCGAUGUAGCUCAGUUGGCAGAGCACGAUCAUGGUAAGAUCGGGGUCGCCGGUUCGAUUCCGGCCAUCGGCUCCA
rnacentral:tRNA from 2 species